rnacentral:rRNA from 1 species
GAUGGCGCUUACCACUUUGUGAUUCAUGACUGGGGUGAAGUCGUAACAAGGUAACCGUAGGGGAACCUGCGGUUGGAUCACCUCCUUA